CGUAAGAAAUAGUAUUGAGUGUAUAUUUGUUUAGAGUUUGGGUGUAUAUUAGCUAACAGUUUGGGUGUAUAUUGUUCCUGAUUAGUUUUUUUUACGCCGUGAUUAAUUUUUUGUAACUGUGCAACACUCCUGAAAUCCCCAAACAACUUCAAGAGACCACACCCACGCUUCCCCCAGCUCCAACUAAAAUUCAUCCAGACGCAGAAGACGCUGCUGCCCUGUUGAUGAUGGCACGGACAGCAUCCUAUAUUCCUAAAACAGAUCCAGGGGUGCCAUCAUUCAGCCUUGGAUUGACUGAUUCAAGCCAGGAGGGGGCGUCAACGCAGGAGACAGAAAGGG